GUUCAAUACUUGCGAAUGCAUCCCACUCAGCUGCAGAAAGAAGGGAGAAGGGAGAAGAUUAUUCCCAAUAAGAAAAAGUAGCAAGACUAAAGCUUCAGAUCUGAGCUCACUAUAUGACAAUGUUACUGCUUUUCAAAAGACUUUAAGGGACCAGAAAGCCUACAUUCAGCUUUGGCUUCUAUGUGUAUUACUGGGUCUGCCAACACCUUCGUGGGACAUCAAAGACUUCUGCGCCGUCAGCUACUAGAAGUUCGCUUGACUGUCUGAGGGUUCAGG